UUCCACAUUUGUCCCCAGAACAGAACCAGACUUUUUUAUCAGGCUGUUGAGCCUUUUUAGGUCUCUGGUUCUGAUGCUGCUACCCCAACAGAUGACGGCUGAAGAGAUGAAGCUCUCAACACAAACUGAUAGAAGAUCUACAGCAUCUUCCUGCAAACUUUGAAGGAACUUAGCUUCCUCAAUAAGUCUAAUUUGCUCUGCCCCUUCUUACAGAAAUUCAUAAUGCAAGAGAAGCAAGCCUUUUUAGUGACAGUAUUUAAUCAUAAUGAUGAUAUAUUUUCUGUUAUUUUUAGGUACAACAUUGUUAUCUUUGGUGGCAUUGAUGGUUUUUCUCGAAAGAUAAUGUAUCUUGGUACAGCUCCCAACAACCUGGCAUCUACCACACUGGCUUUCUUUCAGGGCUCAGUGGAGGAGUUUGGUUUCCCCCUCAGGGUACGUGCCGAUCAAGGGGUGGAAAAUGUGGACGUGGCACGACUUAUGUUUAUGAUUCGUGGAACAGGAAGAAGCAGUUUCAUCUCUGGGAAGAGUGUGCACAAUCAAAGGAUUGAGCGACUGUGGAGAGAUCUG